UGUGUGUGUUUGGUCGACGUUUACACAGAGCCAGGAGAAGGGUUCUUUUCAAAACCCUAAACUCACUAAAAUCCAUCAAAAUCUAAGGGAAAUCGAGUUGGAAAUUAGGGCUUUAACUAAAUUCAUGAUCAACCAUGCUAGGAGAUCACAAGUUGACUCUAAACAAGCUAGGUGGGAGCUUGGAAAGGAACGGGUCAAACGGAUCAUGGAUGCGAAGAAUGUUUGCGCGAACGCGAGGUAAGUAAAGCUUACGCCCAAUUGUAGUAAAUGUAUGUAUUUUAUAGAUGAUAAAUGUGACAACCGAUUACAUUCGAAAUUGAAGUUCCGACACUAAGCGAUGUGAGUCGGAACGAAUAAAAAUGAUCAAAACCAUGGUUAAUGGUAAAAUGGACAAAAGGGUAAUUUAGUCGUGAAUCGACUAAGAAUUUAUAAGAUUUCUUUAAGGUUACCUUAUAGCGAAACUUGAAAUGGGUCGGAUGUGUGAAGGGGAUAUUAAAAGUCAUGUUUUGACAUAAGUAUAAAUGUUUGGUCAUAAAUACCAAAUGGGUCAAAUGGUGGUGAUGACACCAUUUGACAAUAUCGACUAAUGUUUGGUUGUUAAGUUAAAUGUUCAUAGGAGUGAACGGGAAGUGGAUUAUUGCGUUGCUAUAAAGUAGCGGCUAAUAAAAGAAAGGUACAAAACGGGUCUAUAUGUUGACUCGAGCCAGGACACUUGCAUUUAAAGAUGACAAAGGACAAACAAAUUAAGGAUGUGAUAGAGGAAUAGUCCGAGGCAUGACAAGAGGAACAUGCUCACUAAGGACUAAAUCGCAUAAAGACCGCGAACAAGGUUAAUGGCAAGAGACGCCCGUCGGGGCAAGCAUUAUCAGUUGACUCUAAACAAGCUAGGUGGGAGCUUGGAAAGGAACGGGUCAAACGGAUCAUGGAUGCGAAGAAUGUUUGCGCGAACGCGAGGAGUGAACGGGAAGUGGAUUAUUGCGUUGCUAUAAAGUAGCGGCUAAUAAAAGAAAGGUACAAAACGGGUCUAUAUGUUGACUCGAGCCAGGUGAAUGCCAAGAGUGCCCGGAUGAAGAUCAAGCUCGAUGAGGAACCGAACACAAUAAAAUCUAACACUCGGGAUUAAAGCUUCCGCACGGCGUUACGCCAUAUCUUUUAAACGACGAACUUAUUUAUAUUACGUUGAAAACUUUUAAGUUGUAAAAGUUUUUUUUUUUAGAUUACUUGUAUUUUCUAAGAAUACUUAAUCGCAAUUUCAUGUUUAUUUUCGAU
rnacentral:lncRNA from 1 species